rnacentral:misc_RNA from 1 species
UCUCCGUAGGUGAACCGGCGGAGGGAUCAUUACAGAGUUCAUGACCUACCGGAUAGAUCUCCCACCCUAUGUUAUUGUUACUUUGUUACCUUCGCGGGCCGUUAGGCCCCGGCCAGUCUACCGGCCCCGGGUGGUAAGCGCCCGCCAGAGGACCCAAAACCCUGAAUAUUGAUGUCGUCUGAGUAUCAUAUAAUAGUUAAAACUUUCAACAACGGAUCUCUUGGUUCUG